rnacentral:rRNA from 1 species
GACGAACGCUGGCGGCGUGCUUAACACAUGCAAGUCGAACGGUAAGGGCCUGCUUUUGUGGGGUGCUCGAGUGGCGAACGGGUGAGUAACACGUGAGUAACCUGCCCUUGACUUUGGGAUAACUUCAGUAAACUGGGACUAAUACCGGAUAGGAGCUCCUUCUGCACGGUGGGGGUGGGAAAGAUGCGGCGGUUGGUGACGUACACGCGGUCUAGCAUCUUGUUGGUGGGGUAGUGGCUUACCAAUGCUCUGACGGGUAGCCGGACUGGGACGGUGACCGGCCCCAUUCGGCUUCGGGUAGCAGCAAGACUGCUACGGGAGGCAGCGGUGGAAAAUAGUGCACGAUGGGCGGCAGCCUGAUGCAGCAACGCCGCGUGGGGGAUGACGGCCGUCGGAUUGUAACCCGCGUUCGCCUGUGACGAAGAGUGAGUGACGGUAAUGGGUAAAGAAGCACCGGCUAACUACGUG